AAUCCUAAGGUUGGAGGAGAACAUGGAGGAAACUGGUAAAGUUACUCAAAAACCGACCCCCAACACUCACCGAAAUAAACAGGUAGAAUGAGGAGGCUUAUUUUGGGAGCUUUAGGAGCUUUACAUUAUAGAUGUCUUUAUUUGCACCAUUUUUUGUAUCAUGAGUGCAUGUCUGAUAGUUUAAAGUAUUUUGUAACUAUGGACAUAAUAACCUUCGGAUAAUUGUAACUCAGGAUAUGUGU